GGAUGAACGCUGACAGAAUGCUUAACACAUGCAAGUCUUUGGCAAAUCUGUGCUUGCACAGCCUAGCCAAGGCGGACGGGUGAGUAACGCGUAAAGAACUUGCCCUGCAGAUAGGGAUAACAGACGGAAACGACUGAUAACACCUGAUACAAUUGCCGGCACGCAUGUGCCUGGCAAUGAAAAGAGAUGCUGCAGGAGAGCUUUGCGUCCUAUUAGCUUGUUGGUGAGGUAACGGCUCACCAAGGCGAUGAUAGGUAGCCGGCCUGAGAGGGUGAACGGCCACAAGGGGACUGAGAUACGGCCCUUACUCCUACGGGAGGCAGCAGUGGGGAAUAUUGGACAAUGGGGGCAACCCUGAUCCAGCAAUUCUGUGUGCACGAAGAAGGUUUUCGGAUUGUAAAGUGCUUUCAGCAGGGAAGAAGAAAGUGACGGUACCUGCAGAAGAAGCGACGGCUAAAUACGU
rnacentral:rRNA from 1 species